CUUUAAAGGAACACACAGACGUAUUGGGACUAAGCUUAUUCACCCUAUCCACUAGAGUUAGAUAAGUCCAUACAUACCCUCCUCAUCUCUGUGCGUGUCAUAACUGUGU